UGGUGAGAGACCCACAUAUCCUGUUUUAUUACCGAUACGAUGACGAAAUAAUAAUUUGCUGGACAGGUACCGAACGUUAAAUCGAUCUAUUCAUUAAUUAAAUUAAUAAGAUCCACCCAAAAAUAAAGUUUAAAUUGGAAUUCGAAUCAAACCAAUCUCUAAAUUUUUCGGAUUUAACAUUAACAAGAGUAAAUAAUAAAUUAGAAUUCAAAAUCUAUAGAAAGCCGUCAUAUACAGAUAUUGCUAUUCCCGCGUCAUCUUGCCAACCCGUACAACAUAAACUAGCGGCCUUCCGCUGCUAUGUUCACAGAUAAAUGUCAGUCCCACUGUCCCGUGACAGCUUCGCGAAAGAACUUAAUACAAUAUACCAAAUCGUGGUUUCCAACGGCUAUACAAAACAGUUAGUGAACAAAUUGAUUAAAAAUAAACAAAAACAUUUAAUUAAUUCAGAACUUCAUCCCGUCACACCACAAUCAAAUACCAAAUAUGUGGGUAGUUUGACAUAUAUUGGUCCAAUAUCGGAUAAAAUAGCAAAAAUAUUUAGGAAAAACAAUAUUAAUGUGUCCUUCCGAAUGAAUCACAAUGUCAGUCGAAUAUGUAAUGGCAAAGAUCGGUUAAAUAAUUCCGAAAAAUCCGGCGUUUAUAAACUAAGUUGUGACACUUGUAACGGGGUAUAUAUAGGUCAAACAGGUCUAAAUUUCGAAAUUAGAUUAAAGGAACAUAUUGCCGCAUUUACGAAUAAUCCGAAAAAUCACAUUUCGCGAAACAUUUAAUUGAUACAGGUCACUCACUCGGAAACAAUAAUAAUUUUAAUAUUUUACAUACAUGUGAAAAAGGAUUUCGCUUAAAUGUGUUAGAGCAAUUAGAAAUAAUAAAACACAAAAAUAACAUGUUUACAUUGUUGAAUGAACAAACAAAUUUAGUCCCAUCACCUUUCUUACGUGUAUCUUCCGGGGGUAAUACGUCACACCAGCCGACCAAUCACAGCGCGUCAUUUCAUGGGACGAGGGUAUAAAAGAGCGGCUCUCGUGCCAGAUUUUGGAGAGACAACACGUCCCGAGGAUGCCUCGUGUAGGGGCGAAACACGUGUCGAAUUGUUUUAAAGACAAAUAUUGGCGGAAUUAACACUAAAGAAAACUUAAAUAAUUUGUAUAUAUAGAUAGUAAUAAAUAAUAUAUUUAUUUAAAUUUACAGUCAAACACAAUCUCAUAAAAAUGUGACAAGUAAUUUGACCGCCUUGAACGCAAAGGCGAAGCAUGCGCAAUGCAAGUUUUUGCAAAUUUGUAUUAAGGUAAUUAAAAAUUAUUAAUUUUACAAAAAAAAAACAAAUGCUAGAACAAACAUAAUUUACUAAAGAACAAACGUCAAUGUGUAUUUAAAACUAAUAUUGAGAGAAAAAUAUUAAUAACUUUGAUUGCGGAGGCUAACUAAAGGGUAUGUUUUUAAUUAAUUGUUUUUAAAUAAACAACAAAAGAACAAACAAUUAUUUAUAGCGAACAAUUAAGAACAAACUACGAACUAACGAUAUGCGAUAUUGAAAAUUGAAAAAAAAUCUUUUUUUUUGGGGGUUAAGUUUGAUGAGCCCGAGUAAGUAACGCAGGGGUAGGACAGUCGCCUUAAAGUGACGUUUUCAGAAAACUGUAGUGCCAUCUAUUAGUUGGCCCUAAAAUGAAAGCUUUGUCAGCUGUCACUCGCUUUGAAAUCUUUCAACUUUUCUUGAAAUGUAUCACUGCCCACUGGUCUGGUCAUAUAAUGGCGGCUACUUCUAGCGUUUGCGCAUGUAUGUAGCUCUCGUGUUCCAUUUUGCAUAUUUUUGGUAUUGAAAUCGAAGUGUAAGUGCGUCGAGUCGAGACUUGUGUUCCUCCGCCUUGCUGUUGCGAAUUCACUCCAAAAAUCUCCUUAUUCUGUGAAUUUCUACUUUUUGUGAUAGAGACACUUUUGUUUGUGGAAUUUCUGAACUUUGGUGUAAUGCCGAGACGUUGUGCAUUUGGUUGUGCGCUCCGUGGUAAGUAAAUUAUUCUCUUAAAUCUUAUCAGUACCUAUAGUUUAUUGACUAAUCUAGUGAUAAAUAAAGUAUCAUAUAAGGUUGGUCUACUCUCAGGUUCUACUACCGGUCUGUAGAUUGAAUUUGCAAUCAUGGUUAAAACUAUUAUAAACAUACCGGUCUUCUGUAUCUUGCCCCAAAGAUUAAACUCCAAUCCCUCAAAUCACCUUAUGUCAGACUUCAGACUCCCCCUGACUUAUAUGGUUUAACACACUUAAUAAUAAUUGACAGCUGGCUUCUGACACCGUUUUUAUCAAGUGAAAAGUCAAUAUAUGAGUCCAAAAUCUAAUACUAGCCCAAUGGUCAUAACACUAGGUUAUCACUAUUUGUCUGAUGGCUUUAAUAGUCACUCAAUUUAUUUAAUAAUGUUAUUUAUUAUUUUCAGAGAUUCCAAUGCAUUGUUUCCCAGAUGCUGUCAAAUUUCCUAAGCAGUUUAAAACUUGGGUCAGUCUUGUUGGUGGAAACCCUGAAACAUCUGAUUUUUAAUAUUAUAAGAAGAAGAGUAUUUGUGAUAUACACUUUUCUGACAGACAUAGAAAUCGUAAUAAACGGCUAAACACAUUGGCAGUUCCGACGCUUCAUCUGCCUGAGCCGUAUGUGAGCAACUUUAUUUUUGGAAAAGCAUCAACUUCAACAACAUUCCAACCUGUGGCUGCAGAUGCAUCUCAACAAUUUGCUUCAGCAAAGUGCUUGAUGCUAGAACAUAAUUAUAGUGUUAUUAGCAAGCCUAAAAGAACAGCUGGAAAAGAUCUAAUGGCUUCACAGCGCACAAAGAUCAAGCAUCUUCAAGCAGACAUAUCGCGCUUGCGAAAAAAAAGACAAUCUUUCAAAGCAAGGUUAAAAGGUGCUGAAGAUUUGUCCAGCAGCAAUGUAUUUCAACAUUGUGCUAUGAAAUUUAAGAAACCAGCUCAAUUAUUUUUAAGUUUGCAGUUGCAAGCAUCAAAAAACCCAAAAAUGAUAGAAAUAACAAUGAUUAUAUAAAAGCAAAAGAAUACAACAAUAAAAAAUGGUUAUGUUAUCCAAAUCAAGAAUUAGAAAAUUGCUUCCAUGACAUUCAAAAUCUAAUAACUGGGUUCUUAAAAACAGAUAUACCCAAAAAAAUAUAAAAAAGCAUAUUAUAUUAAUAGCAGAUGUGAUGGUAGAUUAUCCUUUUAACUGCACCACACAUAAAGAAAACUUAAAACAAUAUUUUAAUAACACAACUAUAAAUGUUAUUUUGUAUAGUUGGUGCAAAUCGAUUAAUCGAAUUUUGUCCGGAAUAUUAACAUAUGUGGGUGAAGACGAAACAAAAACAGCUGUCCAACAAUAUUAUAAUAAACAUAAACAUUAUAAAAAUAAAAAAUAAUAUGCAAA